GAUGAAGAACGCAGCGAAAUGCGAUACUUGGUGUGAAUUGCAGAAUCCCGUGAACCAUCGAGUCUUUGAACGCAAGUUGCGCCCCAAGCCGUUAGGCCGAGGGCACGCCUGCCUGGGUGUCACGCAUCGUUGCCCCCCUCCCCGAAACCCCUCUCCUCGAAAGAGACGAGGGGACUUGGCCGUGGGGGGGCGGAUAUUGGCCUCCCGUGUGCCGGACGGCUCGCGGUUGGCCCAAAUGCGAGUACUCGGCGACGAGCGCCGCGGCAAUCGGUGGUUGUCCAACCCUCGGUGCCAUGCUGCGCGCGCUAGCCGCUCACUGUUACUCGACGACCCCAAUGCGUCGUAGCCACGACGCUCACAACGCGACCCCAGGUCAGGCGGGGCUACCCGCUGAGUUUAAGCAUAUCAUAAGCGGAGGA
rnacentral:misc_RNA from 1 species